ensembl:lncRNA
CAGGACACCUCUGUAACCCUGGUCCCCUAUCCAGGCCCUGCACAGAGCACUGUUGGAGCCCCAGGCCUGUGCUUGCAAGGACAGGAAACAGGGCCUGGCAGCCAGUGGCCCAGAAGACACCCCCGCCCCACCUCCACCCCUGCUUGGCCCAGAAGACACCCCCGCCCCACCUCCACCCCUGCUGUGCUCAGAUGCAAGCGUGAACAUUGUCCCUUGCCUGGUCCUGUUUGCACUAUGGAGGCCUCGCUCACUCCUCAGCUAUUUCCUGAUCAUAGAAGUUGGAAAAUAUAGCUGAAUGGUCAGCCUGACAUGUGAAGUCCCCCUCGGUCUAGUGUUAUCAUGACCUGUGUUAUUGACACCACUCUAGAGCCUCCCAUCCCAGGCAGUGGGUCCCACCCACCCUGCCCAGGUGCCAGAGGGGCCAUGCUUAUAGCCCACGAGCCAUGGGGGUCUCUAUUGGCCAUCCUGCCUCCCCAUCACCUGGUGUGUGGCCUCUAGACUGUGUCAGACUCAGCUCAUUUGACAACAGGGUGUUUUUCCUUCAAACCAUGGGGUCACAUUAGUGACAAAUGCCAGCAGGGGCUGAGCCUACUCUGCAUUGGGCAGUGGCUCACAGGUGUAGCAUGCAAGAUGUCACAUUACCUUUGUGGUAACCUGCCGCUUCAGGAGUCAGAUAGCCAGCAGGAGCCUCAGCCUAGAGGGAUCAGGACCCUCUGCUGGGGGGGGAGGAAGAGGAAGAGAAAACAGUCAGCUCUUGAAACCCCCUUUGCUGCCCAAUGAGACCUCCACUCAGGAAGGAGGAAGUCAGAGAGAGCUGGCCCCUGGCCCAAUUGCAUCUCAAAAGCUCCUCCUCCCUAAGUCAGCUGAGUGUUUGUUCUCUGCCUUCUUGGUGUUCUGGCCCUUGGGGCUUCACUGACUGGAGGGAGGAAUGCACACAGAACCAACUCCUAGAGUUGUAAGCCACUUCUUCCUGCCUCUGCACCCUUUUAUCAGAACUCUGGGCACCGUAGUCCCUACUCUCAUUCUUCCUGGGCAGGAACCAGAUACCAGGAACAGCCCCCAGGCCUCAGAGCUCAGAAACCACUCAAACUUGCCAGUCCCAAGCCCACUUACCCUCCUACCAUCCCUUCCUAUGAAAACCACAAUUCUUUCCCUAGCCCCUGCCUCCCUACCUCUGACUCCUGACUGACCCCACUGCUUUCCCAUGGGAUCCCACACAUUGGUGUUUGGGGUGACAGCUCCAGGCUUUGGGUCAGCCCUGGUUCCAGUGGCCCAAGAUCAGCUUGAAGGCAUUCAGACCUGUGUGUGCUGAGAGAUGGAAAGGGGCCCCAGAGGUGACAUCACACCCAGGCAAACAGAGAAGGGGAGGGUGGUCUGGGGGCAAUUGCACCUGGGUGACCCAUCAGAAGGGUGGCAGGUGAGGAGGCCCUGAGCCACCUGAAGACUGGGCCAUGCAAGCUUGGCCUUUGAAAAUCAAGUGCAGUGGCACUGAGAGCCAGGAGGGGUGGCUCAGCCUAGAACUUCAGGCCAUGCAGAAUGAGUACACCACAUGGCACAGGCCAAUGAUUUGUGUUAAAGAAAUGGUUUCCAAAGCCAAAUUUCUUUGAGAAGUAUUAGGCCAAACAGCACCUUUUUGGAUGUGAUUCCUGAUGUGUUGACCCUAAGUGUUCUGUGUAUUCCCAGUCAGGAAUCACAAAACAAAAUCCCCAAAGGAGCCAAGGCAUUUCUAGUUUCAUCAUUCUGCAGAAGAAAAUUUGGAAAAGCAUCCAUCAAGUCAAGGCCAGGGGCCCCCUUGGUCUGUGCAGGCAGACAAAUAGUUUGGGGGGGGGCGGGGCUGGAAGGUGUGAGGUGUGUACAGGAUAUCCCUGGAAGUCCUGGCUCAAUGUGGAAAAAGUCCCAAGCCACCACCUACAGUACCCAGACACUGAGUUGUCCUAAAUGGUCAAUCCAGUGAAAGGAGGAAAGGAAACUGAAACACAGACAGGUUUGGGUAUUUUCUCAAGGCCAUACAGCCAGAAAGUGUCAAGUCAGAAGUGGCUUCCACAUCUGUACCUAUCAUUCGUGGCUCACAGUGCCUCUGCAGCCCCCAUAGGCUGCUAGGAGCUGCCUCCUAUCAGAGGAGCGGCUGGAAGUGUGGUUCAGUCCCUGCUAGACAUAGAGUCCCCAGGCUGCUCCCUCCCUGCACAACCCAGGUGCUGUGAGUUCAGGGGCCACCCAGGUGUGGCGUCAGCUUGACAUGACUGCAACCAUCUGGAGCUGUAACCAUCCUGCCUCUCCUGAGUGACUCUAGUCGGUUUUCCUGCAUAUUUUCCCAGCAAACUAUAAUGCAUAAAUCCAAAAGGUUGAUACACAGAGCUUUGCAACUAGACCUUUUGCAAGGAUGUGCCCAAUUCCUCAGUUCCAGCCAGAAUGAAAUCACUUUUGUCCUGACCAAUAAAUAUGCCCCUCUUUCUGACCCAAAUUGCAGGCAUCCAACUGGUCUUGCUGCCACAUAGGACCAUGCUUCUGUCUGUAAGGCCCCAAUAAAUUUCACUCUGCAACCA